rnacentral:lncRNA from 10 species
CUCUGUCAAGGGCAUUCCAAAGUAAACCUAAAAAGGUAGUUCAGGCCAUGAUGAAAAGGUGGGUGGAGGGGAUUGAACAUGCCCCGUUGUACCUUCCUCUCUUUGGAAUUCAGGCACAACUGACCAGCAUCAAUUAAAACAGAGAUUUGAAGACUAACAAGAGUCUCUUUGUAGCAAUAAGAUAUCAAAUCCCAACCUGACUCUAAUAUAG